rnacentral:lncRNA from 1 species
AGGAACACAAAUUCACCUUUAUAGUUCAGAAAAACCUUUCCUUCUUUUCUUCUCUUUGAAGGCUCAUCCAUAUUCACUAUUGAAAGUUCCUAUAGAUGGAAAUUAGGAUGGAAGCAAGGGUAUGUAGCUGUGAGAUUAAAGAUGAUGCUGAUGAUGAUGAAGACACCAAAUUCAAUGAUGAUUAACCAAUGAUAAUUGCAAGUUUAUUAACUUGCUUGAUCAUUUGGGCAACUGAAGAUCCUUUGGCAGUCACACUAUUACAAGAUCCUUGAUAUCUUCUAUGUAUACCUUUAUAUUUAUAAGGUUUCAAAAUAUUAAUUAAUUCCUCUAUAUGUAUGCAGUGUUAUAUUAAACAUUGUUAUGCAAGUUAUUGGUUGCUUACUAGAGAUUAUAAGUUAUUUUUUUGUGUCUUGUAUACCGUUUUGCUUUGUUUUAGGCUUUUAGCCACUUUUGUUGUUUUUCUUUUGAUGUAAUAAUUUUUGUUCUGUUUUGGCAUUUCAAAAGCUACCCAGAACAAUAAUUUACGAGAUAUAUCAUAUGACUAUGAGGGUAUAUUCUUAUGUCUGCGUAUUUUUCCUUGGUAUUAACGUGGUAUGAUUAAUUAAUUAAUUAUAAUUAAGUGCAACUGUUUCAUUAAAAAAAAAAAGUAACGAUAAGUGCCAUUUAAUUUCUUUUGGGUACGGACGGUACACUUUAAUUUUGGUACUACGAUAACUAUAAAAAAAAACUCAUAUCUCAACUUAAACUUUCUUGUCCGUCUUGAAUUAAGACAUUAAGUUUAAGUGGUUAAUAGGUUCACCAUAAAAUAAAUUAUUUGGGAGAGUCCGAGUUUGAUUCAUAACGAUCUGUCAUUUGGUAAAUUUUAUUAAUCACUUGAGUCAAAUACUUUGUUUAUAAUUAAUUGAAUUUGAACAAACAUUUUAUAGUUAAAUGAUGUUUUUUUACUAUGAAUCAACUAUAUAGUAGUAAUACAGAAUUUCUUUUCGGACUUGAGUAGCUCGAUAAAUUUUAAGUAAAAGUUAAAUGAGUUGAAGUUCACAAAUUUAAAUUUGGAAGAAGUUAGGCAUGNNNNNNNNNNNNNNNNNNNNNNNNUUUGACCUCUCCCAAACUCAAACCCACAACGUUCGGAUUUCUCCAAACUCGUCUCAAUUCUCAACGGGUAUGAAAAGUAGAACCUUAAACUCAUAGCCAACGGGGUUCGGGUAUCCCAAUUCCGUCUCGCUUCCAUAUGAGUUUGAUUGAGUUUUGGUAAUUUUUUAAUUAAAAAAGGGGUAAAAGUUAACAACUAUUUUGUUUCGACAAUACAAUUUUUUUCAAAUAAAGAAUAUAAAUAGAAAAAAAACAAUUUUAUGUAAUACUCAACUUAAAAAUAAACACAAACUUAUUAAUAUAAUAUAAGACUUUGUUUAAAUAUUUAUAAUUUAAAAGGGAUAAAAUGUAAUUAGACAUUGAAGGUGUGAAAACACAAGAAGGGGGGGGUUGAAUUGUGUUUUAGCUAAGUUAAAACUUUUUCAAGUUCUUAACUCAACUACGUUAGCAGCGGAAAAGUAACACAAUAAAUAACAAGUUAAAGAGAGNNCUUGCACUUCCAAGGGAGUUCACUAUAAUCACACAAGAUUACACCUGCUCAAGCACACAAGCAAGAGACUUCACAACUAUGCUCAAGCACACAAGCUUAAGACUUCACACUUAAGCACACAAGCUUAAGUUUUCACACUUAAGCACACAAGCUUAAGUUUUCACAAGUAAUGGUAAAGUAUAUAAAAAUAUACAAGUGCUCUUAGAUGAACCUAAAGUGAGCAAAUACAAAUAGUACAGAGUAUUUGGCUAAAGUGCAAAAACACUUGACAGAGGUUCAGAGCUUGUAUAUUACAGAGUUCAGAGUUUGUUCAGCGCACGUUCAAAUCUUAAUAAUUGUGUAUAUAUGUUUGUUGUAGCUGAAUCUUCUAGUAUAUAUACCACUAGAAAAGAGUCGUUGCAAAAAGGAACCGUUGGAGUUGAUAACCUUUUGUCUUCAAGCAGUCUGUCUUGAUGCAGUUGGUUGUAUCCAAAACUAAGNNNNNNNNNNNNNNNNNNNNNNNNNNNNNAAAGGUCCUUUUCUUCAUUGGUAGAAGAGUUGACUAACAAAGGGAAUCUUCACAGCUUUCAAAGAGAACUUCAGAGUUUGAUGAAGCUUGUAGACAGACAUGAAGUUCUGAAGUCUUCAUCCUCUGAACGUCGUAACUUCUGAAGUCCAACAUCUUCUGAGCGCUUGUGAACUUCUGAAUUCACAUCCUCUGAACUCCACUCAGGACUUCAAUGAUGCUUAUAUCUGCGCACUUAAAAUAAAUUUUUAGUCCAUUCAAUUGUUAAUUAAUACUUUGUUAUCAUCAAAACUUUUAUAGAUUUAGGGGCAAACAUUUUUAAAUCAAUUUUGUUCCAACAGACAUAAGCGGGGCGGGUUCGGGGUAGGUAUCAAGGUCCCUAUUACUCGCCUCACACCCGUAUUUUAAAAUCGGAGAAAACCCAAACCCGAACAUAAACUCAAUCAAUUCGAUUUUUUCCCGUCAAAAUUAGAAUUGGGACUUAGGGUCAACUCAAUCCUACAAAGCCAACUUAUAAAAUUAGAAUUGUCUCUACUUAUAAACUCAUAGUCAAACUAUCUCAAAUUGGAUGUGAGACUUCUUAACAUAAUAUCAAUAUAAUUAUUGUCCCCGUGAGGCUUAAUUCAAUUGUUAGGGACAUCAACAUUUUAUAUGCAGGAGCUGGUGUUCGAACCUCAGACACUCCACUUAUCCAUCUUUAAAGGUGGAAUUUCAAGUCACUAGGCUACUUGACAAAAAAAAAUCAAUAUAAUUAUUAACAUUGAUUGGUGCAAAUAAAUACACAAAUUCUAUACAAAAACAAACCCUGGCAAUGAUAAAAAAAAAUUCCAAUCUUGUAUUUGUUUGAUUUUAUUAAAAACAAAAAAAUAUAGAGAAUUGCUAACAACAGUCACUUUUAAAUAUUUUAAUUGGUUUAAAUUAACGUGAGUAUCUCAUUUAUGUAUAUGAGUGUACAUGGAUUGGAUAAAUUCAGUCGACCUUGGUCAAACACACUCAACUAAAAAAAAAAAAAGGGUCGAAUGAUUUGGUUGAUAUGAAUUUCAAAAAUGAAAAUACCCAUAAAAAAAGGGUUCUGAGUAAAACCAGGCUCAGACCCAAAAAGUUUGAUCCAAUUGUGCUAUGUUUUUUCUUUAUUGAAAUACUAAAGUUUUUUUCGUUUUUUAUCGUUAAAUAUUUUUUAUAGUUAAAAUAAAUUACAUUAUUUUUUAAGAAAAUAAAAAAGGUCGAAUUAUUUUUAUGAAAAAAAUAUGAUGGUUCAUCAUUUAGUCAUUUAAUAUUAAAAAAUAGAAAAAAUAAUUUGGGUAACAUUCAACUCAUAAAUUAGUGAAUUCACCUAAUCUGAUUCAAAAUUAGUGGUUAUUUUGUAUAGUGAAAAUGGAUGAGAUGGAUAACUUAAUUGGUUGAACUAAUUUAGCUAAGGGUUAAGGAGUUAAAAACCUAAAGUUUAAGUCCCGACUAGGAGAAAAAAAAAAAACCAACUUAACAAUUAACUAAAAUUUUGCCAUUGAAAAAAAAAAUUGUAUAAUGAAAACAUGUUACACUAUGUUUAAAGAAGAGAGAACAAGAAUCUAGGGCUAGCCAAUCCUCCAUCUAUUAUUCUAAUAUUGAGGCAUUCCAUACUUCCUAGUUCAAAAAAUAUUGUUGAGUUAUUUAUUUAUUUAGUGUAUGUCUGGUUUUAAUUUUGGAGCAGUCAUAAUUGAUUUUAGACGUGUAGAAUUGAUUCUGGCUUGUUUCGUUUCUCAAAAGUAGAAUUGAUUCCGCCUCCAGAAUGAAUUCUACUUGAAGCUAGAAAUCGUAGCUUUCGAUUUUAGAAUUGAUUUUUAGAGCAUUCACAAUGGAGCUACUCAUUUUUUAGUACUUAAGUGGGUCCCACAUAUACACAUCACUCAUUUAUAAUUUUUUUAAUAAUAGUACAUAAUAAGUACUAAAUUCCUCCAACCCAAAACCUCUUCAAAAGUUCUAAAUUGGUCCCACUAGUAGCACNNNNNNNNNNNNNNNNNNNNNNNNNNNNNNNNUCACAAAAAUUAUUUAGGUACUAUGUCUUAUUGUAGAACUAGUACCUAUUAGGUACAAUUUUAUUUUUGCUCCAAUGGGAGUACCUAUUAGGUACUAGUACUUAAAAAUAUAAGUACUACCAUUGGAGAUAGUCUUACACUCAAAUUCUUUGUUGAACUCACUUUUGUAUGAAUAUAUCCAAACAUAAAUUAAUUUUGUCAAACUCAAUUCUGUCAAAAUCAAUUUUGUCCACCGCAUAAUCAGGGGCGUCUCCGAGUUUUAGGAGGCUUUGAGCAAAAUAUAAAAGUGGCCCCUUAAUAAAUUUUUUUUAAAAAAUUGUCGAUUUAAAUUACAUAUAUAAUAUAUAAAAAAAAUCAUUCUUAUUCUUGUAAACAUAUAAAAAUUAAACCAAUUGCAUUAAAUCAAACGAGACAAGAAAUACAAAAUAAUUAUUUUGGCUUUAAUGCAGUUUUGAUCCCCCUAUUUUGAAAAAUCUGAACUUUUGAUCCCCCUAUUUUAAAACUCAGCACUUUUGAUCCCCCUAUUUUAGUUUUUUGUUAGUUUUAGUCCCCCACCUCAAUUUGNNUGACCUAUAGAGAUGCAUGUUUUGCAAUGGGAUUCCUUAAAGAUGAUCGUGUUUACAUCACUGCAAUCAAAGAAGCAAAAGAUUGGGGCUCGGGACACUAUCUAAGAAAAUUGUUUGUCCACAUGUACAAAUGUACAAUGCCACGUCAUCAGUGAGUAUGACACCUAAGCAAAAGUUUGNNNNNNNNNCUAAAACUAACAAAAAACUAAAAUAGGGGAUCAAAAGUGCUGAGUUUUAAAAUAGGGGGAUCAAAAGUUCAGGUUUUUCAAAAUAGGGGGAUCAAAACUGCAUUAAAGCCAAUUAUUUUUGUAUAUAACGUCAAAAAAGAACCUCCUAAUUUAAGGUUAAAUUCUAUGCAAAAAUUAAAAUGGACUAGAACUAUAUUUACGAGUAUAGAUAACUAAUCUAUUGAUACUCAUAUGAUAUUUUAUGAACAUUAAAAAUAUAUAAUUAUUAUUUUAGAACCUAAAAAUUAAUCUAUUAACAUACAUAUGAUAUUUUAUAAGUAUAAAUAAUAUAUAAGUAAUAUUAUGAGUCAGGAUCCGUUGACACCAACUAGUUUGACACCAAAUGUUACACCUCUCAAUAACGUUUUAACCGAUAUAAAUUUUAUAAAAUCCACCGUUGGAUUGAAAGUUUAAAUCAUAUAGAUCAUUUGUGUAAAAUUUCAGACAAAUUCCAAAAUCAUUUGAUAUGCUAUUGAGACACAUAAAGAUUAACGGCAUUUAAAAAAAUACAAAAACCGUUAAUUUUGAUGUAUCUCAAUAACAUAUCAAAUGAUUUUGGAUUUAUUUGAAAUUUUACACANNNNNNNNNNNNNNNNNNNNNNNNNNNNNNNNNNNNNNNNNNNNNNNNNNNNNNNNNNNNNNNNNNNNNNNNNNNNNNNNNNNNNNNNNNNNNGAUGAUUUAACUAUAGUUGAAAUGAGUCAACCAUGAAAUGUGUACUACUAGUUUUGCAAAACUUAAAAACAAUUCCAUAUUUUUUAUUUAUUUUUUUACUGUUUAAAAAAAGUUAAUACCGCGAAAGCAAGGAUUCAUUCGAAAAAAGGAAUCUCAUCUCAGCCAUCCAUCAUCCACACAGAGUGUUCCAACCAGCUCAUCGAUCCGCGUCAUUCUUUACUCAAAACACAAUCCUUGCCGUCCAUUGUUACGUCUAAAUGACAAUGUAAUUUAUCGGAUGAAAGUAUCUCCACGUCAUCGAUCCGCAACGAACCUCAUUAUCCAAUAAAAAUGCGAGAACCUCUUAUAUAUUAAUCGAACCGCAUCAUUCUGAAUUCAUCCAACACCAUCUUUCUCUGCGAUUACUUCAUUUCCAAAUUCCCAAUUCCCAAUUCGAAACCCUAAUUUCCUCCAAAUUCCCAAAUCUCCGAUUCAAUGGCACCAAAGGGAGAGAAGAAGCCAGCGGAGAAGAAACCCGCAGAGGAGAAGAAGUCCACCGUUGCAGAGAAGGCUCCCGCUGAGAAGAAGCCAAAGGCUGGAAAGAAGCUGCCAAAGGACGGUGGUUCAGCGGCAGCAGGAGAGAAGAAGAAGAAGAGAAACAAGAAGAGCGUCGAAACAUACAAGAUCUACAUCUUCAAAGUUCUGAAACAAGUUCACCCAGACAUUGGUAUCUCAAGCAAAGCAAUGGGUAUAAUGAACAGUUUCAUAAACGACAUAUUCGAGAAACUCGCACAAGAAUCAUCAAGACUUGCAAGGUACAACAAGAAGCCAACAAUCACUUCUAGGGAAAUUCAAACUGCUGUCAGACUUGUUCUUCCCGGUGAAUUGGCCAAGCAUGCUGUUUCUGAGGGUACCAAAGCUGUGACCAAGUUCACAAGUUCUUAGACUUGAUAUGAUUUAAUUGGCCUCUCUAUUGUGUUCUUGUUUUCUGGGAUAUGUUACUCUAUCUGAUUUUAGGAUCUAUUAGAGAUUUUAAUUAGUACUUUUUAUUUUUCGUGUUUCUUACUUUUGAAAUUGUAAUGAAGUAAUUGGAUCUUUAUGGUCCUUUUUGUGUAUAAAAAUGAAGGAAUUAAUCGUUCUUAUUAUUUGGUUCUUUGAAGAAACGGAAUUGGAAUCUGUGUUAAUUGUCUUAGUUUUGCGGAUUUCAGUGUUAUGUUUGUGGUUGCAGUUGAAAGAGAAUUUUUAUCCAUAAAAAUGUUCAUUGCCUUCUGGCGUGGGUUUUGCAUUUUGUUUUCCAUAAUUUUUUGUAAGUUAAGUCUCGGUUUACUUUUUGAAAUCAUGUUCAGUUUAAAUUGUUUGCAAUGAUAUAAACAAUAAAGACUAAUUGUGAUAUAGGAUGGAAAGGAAGCAAGGGUGGGUGAUGCUGCAUUUUUAGAAAUAAUGGAAACAGUUUUUGCCGUUUCUGAAAUGGCUUUAUCUGUUUUAACUCUGUUUUGGAGUUAUCUAUUUUAGAAAAUUUCUUUGCUUUGGUUUUACAGUUUUUUUUGUUGAAAAUAAGCCUGGGUGUAAUUGAUUGUAAGCUUUCACUGGUUUAACACAUAUUUGGGGAUAGUUUUUACAUGAUUGUUGUUGGAUUGUUGAAAUGACCCAUUGAGCAUGAAUAUAUAUGUAUUCAUGGACAGAAGCUCUGUUGGAACCAAAAGAUAAAGAUUAAAAUUUUGUAGUCAUGUAUUUAGAUGUUGGAACCAUAAUCUCCAAAUAUUUUCCUAAUAGAAUAAAUGAUAUCAGCAUAGAACUGGUCUCAAAGAAAUCUNNNNNNNNNNNNNNNNNNNNNNNNNNNNNNNNNNNNNNNNNNNAUAUCAUUCCUUGAACUAACAAGUUAUGCUUCAAAGCCGGAAUCUUCUACAACUUCAAUUAUUUUGUUGGUAUUAAUGAGUUUAGGAUCAAAGAGUACUUUUGCUUCCUCUAAGGCUAAACCAACUAUACUGCCUUUUUUGACUCUUUUGCUUCCUCUAAGGCUAAACCAACUAUACUGCCUUUUUGACUCCUUCAGCUAUUUGCAAAUCAUGCUCAACAGAUUGUGAACAACUUGUGCAAGUCAUUCCCUUAAUCUUGAUUCGGCAUUCUUGAAUCUGCAAUAAUGGUUUCUUAAGAUCCGCGAUCCCAUUCGCGUCUAUUUUUUCAUCUUGAGACGAACACUUAGUUAGUCCUGCAAAAAAUUCAAAGAAACAUAGUUUAGAAAACAAAAUUAUAAUUCCUCGUUUUUUAAGAUCGACAACUUAACAAACCUCGGAAACAACUCAUUGUAGUUCGAUAAUAGCAAAACCUUAGCGAACACAAAAACACACAAUAUAAAUAUAUAUACACGCCAAAUCUAAAAUUUGAAAGCAUAUGUUUCAUAUACUUCAAUUUAAAACCUUGGUUUGCUGCUGCAUGAUCUCUAUUGAGAUAUUUUCUAUUGACACGAGGUGUAUAUCCUUCCUUUAUUUGGUUUCGUCGCUCCCUGAACCGGUUGACGAUAUACCUCUCUUCGAUUUCAGACUGUCUUUUGUAAGCUUCUAUAUCAAAAGGAAAUUCUGAAGGAUCCAUUGAUAUUUUUUUAGUCAUAUGAGAUUUUUAUUAUUGGUACAACAAUGGAAGAAUGAGCCCCCAUUUAAAUAAGAAAUUGAGUUGGUGAAAUGGAUGGACUCGAAACAUAUAAUGCAAUGUGGUUAAAUAAUAGAUAAUGAUAGAAAUCAGAUUAAGUGGUUGAAAUGGACGGACUCCAAACAAAUACUUCAAUGUAGUUAAAUAAUAGAUAAGGCAGAAAGUGACAAAAUACAAACAACGACUUGACAAUACAUAAUUUAAAUGAAAUGGAGUUAAAUAGUAAAUAAGACACAACGCGACAAAAUACAAACAAUGACUUGACAACAUUUAAUUUCCAAACAGAUCGCGACCCAACUUUUCCAACAUCUCUUUGCACCGAUCAUCGAGAUGCUCCUUUGAACUUAACUUCAUAAACAUCUCCAUCUUCUUAGCCUGGUUAGUCUCCUCUUGCCUCAUGAUUAUUUUGUCCAAUCGUUCAAACUCUUUCUCCAUAUAUUGUUUGAGUUCAUUCCACUCUUCACUGGCCGAAGACUUACUUGAUCCUGCAAAAAAUUCAAAGAAACAUAGUUUAGAAAACAAAAUUCUAAUUCCUCGUUGUUUUUCAAGAUUGACAACUUAACAAACCUUGGAAACAACUCAUUGUAGUUCGAUAAUAGCAAAACCUUAGCGAACACAAAAACACACAAUAUAAAUAUAUAUACACGUCAAAUCUAAAAUUUGAAAGUAUAUGUUUCAUAUAUUUCAAUUUGAAACCUUGGUUUGCCGCUGCAUGAUAUUUUCUCUUGACACAAGGUGUAUAUCUUUCCUCUAUUUGGUUUCGUCGCUCCCUGAACCGGUUGACGAUAUACCUCUCUUCGAUUUCAGACCGUCUUUUGUAAGCUUCGAUAUCAAAAAGAAAUUUUGAAGGAUCCAUUGUGUCACGAACCAAACUCGAAUCGUGACCGGCGCACAAACUAAUACUAGUCCGGCAAGCCUAAUGACAAAAUUUAACAAACAAUAAAUAUAAUAUUUCCAAAUGACUAUUUACUUCAGAACAAUAUUUACUGAAAUUUCAACAAAGUCUCAAUUGCAUUUUCAUUGUUUCCAAAUCAAAAUAAAUCCUGUUUGCAGCAUAUACAUCUUUCAGUCAAGAGUUUCAAAAUAUACAUGUUUAAAUUUAUACAUUUGAAAACAAGAUAUUCCUAGACUCAAAAUAGCUGCAAAUACUCAACCAACUCAAAAUAUACAUAUACAAAAUAACAUUUCAUCAAGGAAGCCUACCAAAAGAAUGACACCGACGACUCUCAAUAUCUGCUAGAAACCCCCUACUCAGCUGACUUUGAAUCUGAAAAAAAAAAAGAAAAGAAGAAUAUGAAGGAGUAAGUCACAAGGACUUAGUGAGAGAUAACAACCACUACCAACUAGAUUAGAUGGGAAACACACAAAGGCACGAGCAUUUGAUUUUUUAGAAAGCUUGUAAUAAUUAUUGUAAAGUAGUAACUACGUGAUAUAAAUAAUACUCGAUACAAAUCAUUAUAGAGUUACGAGAAAUUUGAAAUAAGAAAAGUAUGGAAAUCCAAUCAAAUAAAAAGAAUUUGUUACGAGAGAAUCGAGAGAUGGCUUCAUCUCGUUGAUAGCCCUUUCCUCCUAAGAGCGGCCUUUCACUUAGGGGCAGCUCCAUCUAACGGAUAACCCUUUUCUCCUCGAUUAUGAAAACACAUCCUCAUCUUUAAUUAGGGACUCUACAACUCGUUGAUAGUCAAUUCGUUAAGAGAGAAUCGAGAGAUGGCUCCAUCUCGUUGAUAGUCCUUUCCUCCUAAGAGGAGCCUUUCACUUAGGGGCGGCUCCAUCUAACGAAUAGCCCUUUUUUGCUCGAUAUUAUAUAACUAGGUGACCUAGAUCGUUAUUUCCGUUAACAGCCAAAUGGUCAAAACCGUGAUUUCGCAAAAACACUUCAUUAGAAUCAUGUUUUAACCCAAAUUCCAAAUCUAUGUAAAAAUAAACGAAAUCAAACCACAAUUUCAAAUCCGCUACUUUAAAUAUCGUAAAUAAAUCAAACUAGAGUCCAUGUAAAUGUCAACGGCUUUAAAAUAAAUAAAGGAUGACGAAAAAGGUUUCAAAGGAACAUUUAUNNNNNNNNNNNNNNNNNNNNNNNNNNNNNNNNNNNNNCAACUCACUGUUAUGACGAAUCAACUAAGUUUUCACUCCAACCACUCCUGCCAAGCAUGUGAAGCUUCAGUAACAACAGAUAACCAUGAAAUAUUCUAAUAUAUACUCUAAUUUCUGGAUUGAAAUUAAUUUCUAACCCACUAAUCAUCAUGUUUAAAUAUGCACUAAUUGAAAUGUAAGUUGAUAAAUAUACCUCAAAGAGUCUCAAUGAACAAUUUUUCAAGAGUGGGUAUUCAUCUCCUUCCUUAAAGCAUUAACCCUAACCCCAAAAUUAUACCCAAUAAUAUUUGUGGAAGCAUGAGAAAGCUUAUAAUAGAGAUGUAGUGUCUUCCUUUUGAGUGUAUGGUUGAUAUUUGUUGAGAAGAAGAGGUGAAAUGGAAAGAUAGAGAAAAAGAAAAAGAAAGAAAGAAAAAAAAAACGUGGAACAGGGGAAGUAGAGAAAGUGAAAGAAGAAAGUGAGAUAAUUGAUGUGUGGGGUGGGUAUGUGGUUUUUUAUUUUGUCUCUGUUUUAUUAUUAUUACUAACGGGUCAGACAGAACGCGGAUGCCUGUAUGUAACUUAUGUAAAAAAAAAAAAUAGGUUUUAUGUUAUGGUGAAUUUGUUAAUAAGAGAUUUUUAUUGCUAAAAAAUAAUGGUAUUGUUGGUAUUAUGAAAAUUCGACACCAAAAACAUUUGUUUCCUCUUUAUAUAUAAUAUAUAUAUAUGUAGUAUUAAUUUGGUAACCGUUCAUGUAUACGCAACCCAUUUUCUACUUAUUCACAUUUUUAUGAUUUGAAUAUUUUUUUUUUAAAAAAACUCAUUAGUUAAUGGAAGUUGUGAAACUAAGUCAAGGGUAAAAUAUGGAUAUUGAAAAAUCCAUCUCAAACUCACCUAUCAUUUUUAUAUAUUGUUAUAGAAAUAUAUAUGUAGUAUUAAGUUGGUAACCGUUGAUGUAUACGCAACUCAUUUGUCACUUAUUCACAUCUUUAUGAUUUGAAUAUUUUUUUUUAAAAAAAACUCAUUAGUUAAUGGAAGUGGUGAAACUAAGUCAAAGGUAAAAUAGGGAUAUUGAAAAAUUCAUCCCAAACUUACCUAUCCUUUUUAUAUAUUGUUAUAUAUUAUUAUUAUUAUUAUUAUUUAAAUGAAACGGUGCGUUUCACAUUGAUAUUUUUUUUUGGUAGUAAGAGAUUUACAACAAUGAAAGAAUGAACUUCCAUUUAAAUAAGAAACUGAGUUGGUCAAAUGGACGGACUCCAAACAUAUAAUGCAAUGUAGUUAAUUAAUAGAUGGAGAUAGAAAUCAAAUUAAGUGAUUGAAAUGGACGGAGUCCAAACAAAUACUGCAAUGUAGUUAAAUAAUAGAUAAGGAUAGAAAUCAGAUUGAGUGGUUGAAAUGGACGGACUCCAAACAAAUACCGCAAUGUAGUUAAAUAAUAGAUAAGGCAGAAAGUGACAAAAUACAAACAACGACUUGAUAACAUUUAAUUUCCAAACAGAUCGCGACCCAACUUUUCCAACAACACUUUGCUCCGAUCAUCGAGAUGCUCCUUUGAACUUAGCUUCAUAAACAUCUUCAUCUUCUUAGCCUUAGUACUUUCUUUCAUCAAUUGGUUAGCCUCUUCUUGCCUCAUGGCUAUUUUGUCCAAUCGUUCCAACUCUUUCUCCUUAUAUUGUUUGAAUUCCUUCCACUAUUCAUUGACCGAUUCUAAGGAUACGCCCUUGCUUUUCUUUUUACCCUUUUUUUAGCUGCAUCCCUCCCCAUUGGGCGAACACUAGAUCCUACAGAGUUGGAAUCACUUGCAUCACUCUCGCGGACUCUCUUAGAUCCACUACUUCUAGAGCCAGUAUUUCCUCCUACCUGACUACCAUAACAUGGUUGAUCACGAAGAUUUGUAUUGAAAAUUCAGGAAAUUCAUCAAGUCCAACAUUCGGAACAUUUUCAUUUUCUAUUGGAGUAGAAGAAUAAUAAGGGGGUGCUUGACAUGAAUAAGGCAUCAUUGAUCCAUAAUAUGGACGAUAAUUUGGAUUAGAUGACGGCAUGAUGAAAUUUGGAAGAAAUCCAUAAUUUGGUAUAUUUUGGGGACCUCGUUGGUUGGAAGAUUCAUUUUGAAAUCUAUAGUUGUUGGGAUUUGGGUAUAGUUGAAUGGAUAAUUAGUAGAAUUUUGGGUGUUAAAAGGGUUAUUGUUGGGAUCCAUUUUACUAAAAAAAUGUUUAGAACUACAAACAAUAGUUUAUUGAAGGUUAAAUAAAAAAAUUAGAGGGAACAUUUUGUUUCUUUUCUGUGUCCAAAUCAAACGAACCAAAUAUCUAUUUAUAGAAAAAAAAAAUGAUGAAUUCUAGUGGAAAAAAAAAUUAAAAAAAAAUUUACUAUGAAAUAAUUGACCCCAAAUAAAUAAGUUGAGAUAAAAAUCUGAAAAUCACAACAACCAAUAAGAUCAACUGUUACAUGUUUAAUCUUUUCAAUCUCCAACAAUCCAACUCGCUUUCAACACUCCACUACAACACUUUCAACUACUCCCUCGGUCCCAAAAUGAGUGAGUCAUUUUGACUAUAUGCACUAUUCACAUAUCUUAUUUUGACUUUGUUUUUCUACCAAUAAAUAAAAACAAAUAUUACUAUAUAAGAUGUUGGAUUCAUCUCGAUGAAUAUUUUCAAAAUAUCAUUUUUUUAUAAUUUUUAUUAUUGUACAAUUAAAAAUAUUAAUCGUCAAAGUUAUGCAUUAACAUACGUGACACAAGUCAACUGACUCACUAAUUGUGGGACGGAGGGAGUACUAUUUAAUUCAUUUUUCAACACCGUCGUUGUACACGUUCUAACAAAAAUAUAAAUGAAAUAAUCCUAUUGGUUAGUUUGACUUGCCGUAGAUUACGCUCCAAUCGACGGUCACCAUCUUCCCCCUCUCAAUUUCUCAAAAUUUUCCCAAUUCCCCACUUUUCCCUCAUUCUUCCCAUCCCUAUAUAAUCCCCAAACACUUCAUUCCCUCUCAUAGCAAUUCAAUUUUCCAUUCUCUCUCUCAAAUCACAAACAAGCACUUAUUUUCCCUCUUAUUUUCUCUCGGAUCAAAAUGGCACGUACAAAACAAACCGCUCGCAAAUCCACCGGAGGAAAAGCACCAAGGAAACAACUAGCAACAAAAGCCGCUCGGAAAUCUGCUCCGGCGACCGGAGGAGUGAAGAAGCCACACAGAUUCCGUCCAGGAACAGUUGCUUUAAGAGAGAUCAGAAAGUAUCAAAAGAGCACGGAGCUUCUCAUUAGGAAACUUCCAUUCCAAAGACUGGUUAGAGAAAUCGCUCAGGAUUUCAAAACUGAUUUACGAUUCCAAAGUAGUGCUGUUUCUGCUCUUCAAGAAGCUGCUGAAGCUUAUCUUGUUGGUUUGUUUGAAGAUACUAAUCUUUGUGCUAUUCAUGCUAAGAGAGUUACUAUUAUGCCUAAGGAUAUUCAACUCGCUCGUAGGAUUAGAGGCGAGAGGGCUUAGAUUUGAUUUCUUAGGGUUUAUGUUCUUGAUUAGAUUUCUGUUUGGGUUUGAUUCUUGACUAAUCAUGUUCUUGUAAGAAAAGUUUGAUCUACUUUAGAAUGUAAUCAGGUUAAAUUUGAAUUCAAUGGGUUUAACAAUCUCUGUUUCAGAAUUUAUAAUCUUUGUUUUAGAAAUUAUAAUUUUUGCUGUUCAUGUUUUCUCUUAUCUUUGUUAUGAUAUCCAUAGAAACAUGAUUGACAUUAUCAAAUGCAGUCAUGCUUUAUUGCAAAAAAAAAAUUAAAAUAAAAUAAAUUCAGUCAUGCUGCAGGUGUUUUCUUCUAAUUUGGUGGAAAACCAUGAAGUUUGCAGUGUUUCACUAGAGAAAAGUUUGGUCCUGGGAGGGAUAAGAUCCAUGGAAAGAACUCUAUUUAGGUGAAAUUACUUCAGGGUUUAAUCCCACCACAGUUGCACGAAUUAUAUCUACAGACAUAGAGUACCUUGUUGAAGAGCCAUGAGUUCUGACUUGAUCUGUUAAAAUUUGGAUUCGUUGCUUUGUUAUAAACGUUCUUUAACGUCACUCCAAAUUGCUGCUGCAGUGGAGCAAUGAAGAACAGUGGGAUUGCAUUUCCUGUGAAAGGGAAUUUAGAAGCCAAGAUGCAACUAUAUUGUUGUUGCGUUUCCAAGCGAUGUAGUUUGGAGCUUCAGCAUCUUGUUCAGCAAUGGAACCAUUGGCAAAACUGAAUAUCACCAAAUUGUUGAGUAAAGUUGAAACUAUUGUCAACUUGUAUAUCCCAAAUUGUUGAGUUGGUGAAAGUCUUAUAGUUGAACCACUUUGCUUAGUGUGACAUACAUAUAUGCUGUUGUUGGAACACCACCUUCAUAAUUAUCCACUAAACUGUCUUGUAAUUCAAUCUCCACCAUCUGCUAAUAUAAGUCAGAUGCUGGUAUAAACUUUCAAAAGGUAUCAGCAGCUAAUCUAUUAUUGUCUGUGCUAUAGAUAGUUUGGAAUCUUCUACAACCUCAUUAGAAAUUAGAAUAUUUGUCUUGUAAUAUACCGCCUCAUGCAUUCUUUUUCCACAUCAAUAGAUUAGCAUCCUUUGUCAUUUUAUUAGCAUACUAAGAAAUAUUUCUUUCCACAGUCGUGCAAUUAGACGCCGUGGGUUGUCUGAUCAAGAUUCGACAAUCCAAAUCUAAAAUAAAAAACUAAAUACGCCCUUCUUUUUUAACCACCCCAUGAAGAUUAGACGAUCCGUGUCGUCUUGACCGCACGACUGUGGUUCUUGCUGACUGCAGGGAAUCCGAGUUUGUGUAUAUCUGUGCACGUUGCAUUAGAUCUGUUAAGAGUUGAUAAGUAAGUGAAGUACUUGAUUUGCAAAAAAGGAUUUUUGAUUCAUUGUUCGAUGACUGGUGCUGUAAUUAUUGACAUAUUAUUAUGCUUAACCUGUCAAUAUAAGAUUAUGCAGAACCAAAAUAUUUUAGUUUUAACAAAAAAUGCUAUCAAAGAAAACCAUACAAGUGCAAUUAAAAAUUUAAGGGGUUUGUGUGUUAAGAGUUGAAGCAUUUGGUUCAUAAGGUAGAAUUAGGCUUCAAUGUUGGUCCCAUAUAAUAUGGCCAUUAUCAUGCUGCAUUAUGGCAACUAAUGCGACCACUACCAACUAAAAAAAUUUGGAUCAUGGUUAUCCUGUGUGAGAUAAAUGGUGAAUAAGCAUUUUAGAACCAAAUGAAAAAGAAUAUAAAACAAUAAUGAAAAUUUUGGCAUAUUCAUGGCCGGUUCGCAGCUUGUCCAACCAACUCUAUGUAGUCGGACCGAUGCAGAUGAGUAAGAAAAAACACCACUAUGCCAUUGAACCAUUACAAUGGUAUAGUGGUGUUUUUUCUAUGUCAGACAGGUUUUUAGUUGUUGGUUAGGCAUCCUGCUUUUUUCUUUCAUAAUUAUUCAUUACUCCAAAUUUGAAGGUUUUUUCAACUAUACUGAUGAAGUAUAANNNNNNNNNNNNNNNNNNNNNNNNNNNNNNNNNNNNUCAUUUCCCUUCAUUUUGUAUAAAGCAUAACAUUUUUAAUUUGCUACAUACCAUUACUAUUGCCUUUCUUAUCAGGUUUCAUUAACAAUAAUUUUUCUUUUUGGUACAAAAUUAUUUGGCCUAUUACUCAUCACUGUGCAAAUUCAUUCACAGGCUCAUAAAUUGAACAACAGUGGACAAAUACAAGAUUUGUGCAUUGGAUAUAUAAAGAACUAUAUCCAUCAUACUAUGGAAAAUUUAAUUUCAUAUUGAAUAGUUAGUUAUAAGAGAUUAUCAUGUACAAUAUACUAUAUUCGAUCUUAUUUUUAAUUAACUUUCCUAUCCUAUCAGAAUUUCAUCAACCGAUUGCUAUGUUUGGAAAAGUAGCGCGCCUUGAAUGUAUUUGAUGGCAUAUAUUCAUCUCAGUUGCAAUGCAGUUGGUUAAUGGAGAAGAGAAGAGAUGCAAACCGUCAUCACCGGAUUUGGAAAACAAAGGCUAUCCCUACUCUUAGUUGCAUGUUAGUUACUUGUGUUCUCAAUUCUUCUCUUAGUUGCAUGGUUGGAACACUCAGCUGUUGCUUAAUAUAAGAAGAAUAAUGCUAGGAAAACUCACUGGUUGGAGUGACUUGCUAGAGAAGUAAACA